AAGUCGAACGGAGAUUACAGGCGGAAGUUUUCGGAUGGAAGCUUGUAAACUUAGUGGCGGACGGGUGAGUAACACGUGAGCAACCUGCCUAUCAGAGGGGGAUAACGGUUGGAAACGAUCGCUAAUACCGCAUGACAUAGCGGAACCGCAUGGUUCUGUUAUCAAAGAUUUUAUCGCUGAUAGAUGGGCUCGCGUCCGAUUAGAUAGUUGGUGGGGUAACGGCCUACCAAGUCGACGAUCGGUAGCCGGACUGAGAGGUCGAACGGCCACAUUGGGACUGAGACACGGCCCAGACUCCUACGGGAGGCAGCAGUGGGGGAUAUUGCACAAUGGGGGAAACCCUGAUGCAGCGACGCCGCGUGAGGGAAGACGGUCCUCUGGAUUGUAAACCUCUGUCUUCGGGGACGAAACGAGACGGUACCCGAGGAGGAAGCCACGGCUAACUACGUGCCAGCAGCCGCGGUAAUACGUAGGUGGCAAGCGUUGUCCGGAAUUACUGGGUGUAAAGGGAGCGUAGGCGGGCAGGCAAGUCAGGCGUGAAAUAUAUCGGCUCAACCGGUAACGGCGCUUGAAACUGCAGGUCUUGAGUGAAGUAGAGGUUGGCGGAAUUCCUAGUGUAGCGGUGAAAUGCGUAGAUAUUAGGAGGAACACCAGUGGCGAAGGCGGCCAACUGGGCUUUUACUGACGCUGAGGCUCGAAAGUGUGGGGAGCAAACAGGAUUAGAUACCCUGGUAGUCCACACCGUAAACGAUGAUUACUAGGUGUGGGGGGGACUGACCCCUUCCGUGCCGGAGUUAACACAAUGAGUAAUCCACCUGGGGAGUACGGCCGCAAGGUUGAAACUCAAGGAAUUGACGG
rnacentral:rRNA from 1 species